rnacentral:rRNA from 1 species
AAGGGGUAAAAUCCUUUGAUCUAUUGAUGACCACCUGUGGCGAAGGCGGUCUACCAGAACACGUUCGACGGUGAGGGAUGAAAGCUGGGGGAGCAAACCGGAUUAGAUACCCGGGUAGUCCCAGCCGUAAACGAUGCAAACUCAGUGAUGCAUUGACUUGUGGUCAAUGCAGUGCUGCAGGGAAGCCGUUAAGUUUGCCGCCUGGGAAGUACGUACGCAAGUAUGAAACUUAAAGGAAUUGGCGGGGGAGCACCACAAGGGGUGAAGCCUGCGGUUCAAUUGGAGUCAACGCCAGAAAUCUUACCCGGAGAGACAGCAGAAUGAAGGUCAAGCUGAAGACUUUACCAGACAAGCUGAGAGGUGGUGCAUGGCCGUCGCCAGCUCGUGCCGUGAGAUGUCCUGUUAAGUCAGGUAACGAGCGAGAUCCUCGCCACUAGUUGCUAUCAUUAUUCUCAGGAAUAGUGGGGCGAAUUAGUGGGACUGCCGUUGUUAAAACGGAGGAAGGAGGGGGCUACGGCAGGUCAGUAUGCCCCGAAACUCUGGGGCCACACGCGGGCUGCAAUGGUAGUGACAAUGAGUUCCAAACUCGAAAGAGAGUGGCAAUCUCUAAACGCUACCACAGUUAUGACUGAGGGCUGUAACUCGCCCUCACGAAUAUGGAAUCCCUAGUAACCGCGUGUCAUUACCGCGCGGUGAAUACGUCCCUGCUCCUUGCACACACCGCCCGUCGUUUCAUCGAAGUUUGCUUUUAGCGAGGUGAUGUUUAAUUGGCAUUAUCGAACUUGAGGUAAGCGACGAGGGAAAAGUCGUAACAAGGUGUCCG